rnacentral:rRNA from 1 species
CUUAAAUUGAAGAGUUUGAUCAUGGCUCAGAUUGAACGCUGGCGGCAGGCCUAACACAUGCAAGUCGAGCGGAAACGACACUAACAAUCCUUCGGGUGAGUUAAUGGGCGUCGAGCGGC